rnacentral:rRNA from 1 species
ACGCUCGACACCUACGGGAGCAGCAGUGGGGAAUAUUGCACAAUGGGGGAAACCCUGAUGCAGCGACGCCGCGUGAGCGAAGAAGUAUCUCGGUAUGUAAAGCUCUAUCAGCAGGGAAGAAGAUGACGGUACCUGACUAAGAAGCACCGGCUAAAUACGUGCCAGCAGCCGCGGUAAUCUGAGCGGGCUGGCAAGGC